UUGAACGCUGGCGGCAGGCCUAACCCCUGCCAGUCGAGCGGAUGAAGGGAGCUUGCUCCUGGAUUCAGCGGCGGACGGGUGAGUAAUGCCUAGGAAUCUGCCUGGUAGUGGGGGAUAACGUCCGGAAACGGGCGCUAAUACCGCAUACGUCCUGAGGGAGAAAGUGGGGGAUCUUCGGACCUCACGCUAUCAGAUGAGCCUAGGUCGGAUUAGCUAGUUGGUGGGGUAAAGGCCUACCAAGGCGACGAUCCGUAACUGGUCUGAGAGGAUGAUCAGUCACACUGGAACUGAGACACGGUCCAGACUCCUACGGGAGGCAGCAGUGGGGAAUAUUGGACAAUGGGCGAAAGCCUGAUCCAGCCAUGCCGCGUGUGUGAAGAAGGUCUUCGGAUUGUAAAGCACUUUAAGUUGGGGGGAAGGGCAGUAAGUUAAUACCUUGCUGUUUUGACGUUACCAACAGAAUAAGCACCGGCUAACUUCGUG
rnacentral:rRNA from 1 species